rnacentral:tRNA from 1 species
ACGCCGCUAGCUCAGUUGGCAGAGCAGCUGAUUCUUAAUCAGCGGGUCCCAGGUUCGAGUCCUGGGCGGCGUA